UACGAACUGUGCGAACGUUAUUCGGAAUCACUGGGCUUACAGGGUGCGUAGGCGGCUUAGCAAGUCAGGUGUGAAAGCCCCCCGGCUCAACCGGGGAACUGCGCUGAAACUGCUGAGCUCGAGUCAGCUAGAGGUACACGGAACUUCCAGUGGAGCGGUGAAAUGUGUUGAUAUUGGGAAGGGAACACCCGGAGGCGAAAAGCGGGUGUACUGGGG
rnacentral:rRNA from 1 species